ACUAUGUACUCGUAUAUGGUUUCCUAGUGGCGAACGGGUGAGUAACGCGUUGGUGACCUGCCCCGAAGAGGGGAAUAACAACUUGAAAGAGUUGCUAAUACCCCAUAAUAUCAUAUGGAUUAGAUGCCCAAUGAUUAAAGGAGUAAUCCGCUUCGGGAGGGGCCUGCGUCCCAUCAGCUAGUUGGUAGGGUAAUGGCCUACCAAGGCGACGACGGGUAGGGGGCCUGAGAGGGUGGCCCCCCACAAUGGUACUGAAACACGGACCAUACACCUACGGGUGGCAGCAGUAGGGAAUAUUGCCCAAUGGACGAAAGUCUGAGGCAGCAACGCCGCGUGUGCGAUGAAGGCCUUCGGGUUGUAAAGCACUUUUACGUGGGAAGAGGAAGGACGGUACCACGUGAAUAAGGAUCGGCCAACUACGUGCCAGCAGCCGCGGUAACACGUAGGAUUCGAACGUUAUCCGGAAUUACUGGGCGUAAAGCGCGUGCAGGCGGUUUAGUAAGUUGGGUGUUAAAUCUUCGGGCUCAACCCGGAGUCGUCGCCCAAUACUACUAAACUAGAGGACGAUAGAGGGAGGUGGAAUUCCGGGUGUAGCGGUGAAAUGCGUAGAUACCCGGAGGAACACCAGUGGCGAAGGCGGCCUCCUGGGUCGUACCUGACGCUCAGACGCGAAAGCUAGGGGAGCGAACGGGAUUAGAAACCCCGGUAGUCCUAGCCGUAAACGAUGUAGACUUGGUGUUGGUGGUGUGAAAUCCAUCAGUGCCACAGCUAACGCAGUAAGUCUACCGCCUGGGGAUUACG
rnacentral:rRNA from 1 species